rnacentral:rRNA from 1 species
UACGUAGGGUGCAAGCGUUGUCCGGAAUUAUUGGGCGUAAAGAGCUCGUAGGCGGUCUGUCGCGUCGAAUGUGAAAACCCGGGGCUCAACCCCGGGCCUGCAUUCGAUACGGGCAGACUAGAGUUCGGUAGGGGAGUCUGGAAUUCCUGGUGUAGCGGUGAAAUGCGCAGAUAUCAGGAGGAACACCGAUUGCGAAGGCAGCUCGCUGGGACGUAACUGACGCUGAGACGCGAAAGCGUGGGGAGCAAACAGG